UUCCCUACGGGAGGCAGCAGUGAGGAAUAUUGGUCAAUGGGCGGUAGCCUGAACCAGCCAAGUAGCGUGAAGGAUGAAGGUUCUAUGGAUUGUAAACUUCUUUUAUAAAGGAAUAAAGUGAGGCACGUGUGCCUUUUUGUAUGUACUUUAUGAAUAAGCAUCGGCUAACUCCGUGCCAGCAGCCGCGGUAAUACGGAGGAUGCGAGCGUUAUCCGGAUUUAUUGGGUUUAAAGGGUGCGUAGGUGGUUAAUUAAGUCAGCGGUGAAAGUUUGUGGCUCAACCAUAAAAUUGCCGUUGAAACUGGU
rnacentral:rRNA from 1 species